UCUGUUUAAAGUGUAUUAGCAGUGCGGAGGGGACCUUAAGGACUUGUGCUUCGCCCAUUCUCUUCGGCUGUCAUGCCCCAUCAUCUGCUCGGACUGAUGAACCGUGAGGAGAGAAAGACACUCUUGUUCACCCUCUUAUUUGAUGGGGAAGGGGAGAUCCUUAAACAACCAAUCUGCUUAAGGAAUGUUCAUCAAGGAGCAAGAUGUUAGACCAGGAACAUGUUCUAUUUGGCAAAUCACAAUCACCCAACUUCAACUACAUCCUAAGAGCGUCUAAAUGAAGACAACACCAAAUUGCAAUUAUCACCUCAUUUUUUAUCACGCCUUUGGAAAAAGACAGCAGAAGUCUUCUUCAAAAAGUUCAUCCCUGGUGAAUAAGGUGUCUGUCUUAAGCUACAUCAUGAAGGCAGCUCUUGUGACUGAUGACAGAAAGGCAGUGUUUGGAAAGCCCCCCAACAAUCAAUCAGAUUUUCAUUUCAGUCCAAUGUUUUUAAUCUGCUAAUCUCUUAGGAAAUCAAUUAUGAUAGACCUGAACUGGAAAUGUAAUAUUGAUAUGAUGUCACUGCUGAAUGAGACAGCUGGUACUAUGAUUUGAUUAAUCAUUGCAUGUCAGUUCUGAAACUAUAUGUGAGACAAAGACAAAGAAGCCUUCUUAAGGCCCCAAUAUAAUUUCUGGAAGGUUCACUUUGGCAAGCUGUUUUGAAUUCCCGAAAUGAACCCCAAACAAACUUUGUUUUGGCCUGAUUUUGUUCGAAAUUACAUGUUCAUUCGAUUUUGCUUGAAGUAUAUCUGGGCCUUUAUUGUGAACAUGACUUGGGCAGGACUUGACUUAACUAUACGGAAUUGAUUGGGUUGUGAAAAGUAGAUGUUCCAUCCCAGAAUUGAGACCAGAAAUGUGCACUGAAAGAGGAAAUCAGGUCAAUUUUGAUAUCAUGUUGACUUUAAAUUCAUGUUAACAAACUUGAAUUAAAUUGCACUGAAGAAUUUAUGGUAACCAGUUUUCACCUCAGAGUGAAAAAUAAAAUGGGUAAUUAAUCGAAGUCUAAAAUAAGAAAUAAAGCCACAUUGUAGCACAUAUAUAAAGAUAUAAAGGCCCAUUGUAUGAUAUAUGGUCACACCGUCAGAUAUAAAAUUGCUAUUAUGAGAUAUGAGGUCAUAAUGAGAAAUAAGGUGUAAUAGUGAGAUUUUAAAUUGUGAACUAUGCAAUCGCAGUUCUGAAAAAUAAAGUUGCAGUUGUGAGAUAUUGAGUAAAAAUUGUGAGGUAUAAAGUUAUUAUGAAAAAUAAAGUCAUUUACCUUUUGCAGUCAA